UACGAAGGGUGCAAGCGUUACUCGGAAUUACUGGGCGUAAAGAGCUCGUAGGUGGUUUGUCGCGUUGUUCGUGAAAACUCACAACUCAAUUGUGGGCGUGCGGGCGAUACGGGCAGACUGGAGUACUGCAGGGGAGACUGGAAUUCCUGGUGUAGCGGUGGAAUGCGCAGAUAUCAGGAGGAACACCGGUGGCGAAGGCGGGUCUCUGGGCAGUAACUGACGCUGAGGAGCGAAAGCGUGGGGAGCGAACAGG
rnacentral:rRNA from 1 species